rnacentral:lncRNA from 1 species
UUUGCUAUAGCUUUUUCAAUCAUCUCUUCCCAUAGUAAAGUUCAGACUCCGUAGUUCUAUUUUAUGAUCAUAUAUUAGCAUCAAUUUUACAUCACUAUAAAGAACGUUUUUUUGUAGCACCUCUUCGCCAGAUGUCAUCUGGGAGUGUUCCUGGCUCUUCUGGAGAGAACAUGAUUUACUAUCUCAUCACUGGGGUUGCUGCUUUCGGUGCUUUGUUCUAUACCUACAAAGUGGUCGGUUCAUCCCGUAGCAACUACAUCGAACAUGUGAAUGUUCUCCAUGAGAGAGGGCAGAAACACAAAGCUGACUCUUACAAGGACUAAAAUACAAGGGAAAUCUCUUUCCAAACCUGAGGAAGUUAAACACAAAGGACAGUCCUUCACCAUUGCGUACCUUGCAGCCUACCCUGGGAUGACUUUAUGCCUUCUAUUGUAAAACUCCAUCCUUGUGAGACUUUAAAAGAAAUACCUAUGUUUGCAAGGCCAAACCAUAUUGAGCUCUUAAUGAAUCUGCUUUGCAGAAGGCAGUGCUAAGAUCGAGAAGCUGGCUGUUCUGAAUGAAUGCACCCUAUGUUUGACUGUCCAAUAAAUUGUACUGAAUGCUGAGCUUGGCUGUUAGUCUGUUCUUUGUGUAAUCAAUUUAGAUUUUCUGAACUAUAGCAUUCUCUUAAAGGGACAUGGUCAGGUUAUGCAGCUUUGAUUUUUACUAAACAAUGAGUGGACUUGUGUUAAAAACUGAAUGCAAACUGGUAAGCUUGCAU